rnacentral:rRNA from 1 species
UCCCAGCGGUCCAAGUCGCAGCCGCAUUUAUUGGGUCUAAAAUAUCCGUAGCUUGCUGAGUAAGUCUCUUGUGAAAUCCGGCAUCUUAAGUGUCGGGCGGGCAAGAGAUACUGCUUAGCUAGAGACCGGGGACGUAAAGAGUACAUUUGGGGUAGCGUAAAAUGCGUUGAUCCCAUAUGGACUAACAAUAGCGAAGGCAC